UGGGGAAUAUUGCACAAUGGGCGCAAGCCUGAUGCAGCCAUGCCGCGUGUGUGAAGAAGGCCUUCGGGUUGUAAAGCACUUUCAGCGAGGAGGAAGGUGGUGGACUUAAUACGUUCAUCAAUUGACGUUACUCGCAGAAGAAGCACCGGCUAACUCCGUGCCAGCAGCCGCGGUAAUACGGAGGGUGCAAGCGUUAAUCGGAAUUACUGGGCGUAAAGCGCACGCAGGCGGUUUGUUAAGUCAGAUGUGAAAUCCCCGGGCUCAACCUGGGAACUGCAUUUGAAACUGGCAAGCUAGAGUCUCGUAGAGGGGGGUAGAAUUCCAGGUGUAGCGGUGAAAUGCGUAGAGAUCUGGAGGAAUACCGGUGGCGAAGGCGGCCCCCCUGGACGAAGACUGACGC
rnacentral:rRNA from 1 species